rnacentral:rRNA from 1 species
CCUACGGGAGGCAGCAGUGAGGAAUAUUGGUCAAUGGGAGGAAUCCUGAACCAGCCAUGCCGCGUGUAGGACGACGGCUCUACGAGUUGUAAACUGCUUUUGUACCGGGGUAAACUGUUCUACGAGUAGGGUUUUGAAAGUACGGUACGAAUAAGGGUCGGCUAACUCCGUGCCAUCAGCCGCGGUAAUACGGAGGAUACGAGCGUUACCCGGAUUCAUUGGGAUUAAAGGGUACGUAGGUUGUUUUAUAAGUUAGCGGUGAAAUACCGAUGCUCAACAUCGGGGCUGCCGCUGAUACUGUAAGACUAGAGAUCGGAUGCAGCAGGCAGAAUGUGUAGUGUAGCGGUGAAAUGCAUAGAGAUUACACAGAACACCGAUGGCGAAGGCAGCUUGCUAGGCCGGAUCUGACACUGAUGCACGAAAGCGUGGGGAUCGAACAGGAUUAGAUACCCGAGUAGUC